GGCAAUGAUAAUCCUGUACUAGACAUUUGAUAAAGAUAAGCAAGUUAUAAUAAGCAUUCUGUGAACUGUUAUUUUUACUUCAGGUGGAGGCAUUAGUAUACAACUUAUACGGAAUGACGGAACUUGCCUCCUUUGCUACCGGCUGCAUUGUUACACAGGACUGGAAAAGCCUUUGUAUUGGAAAAGUCAUGCCCUUCUUCGAAGUUAAGGUAGUGGACCUAAGUAGCGGGCAGCUCUUGGGGGCUGGCGAGAUUGGAGAAAUAUGUGUGCGGAGCCCCACCACAAUGAUCGGCUACGCUGAUAACUCGGCUGCUACCUCCUCCAUGAUAGAUGCCGAAGGUUGGGUUCACACGGGUGAUUACGGCUAUUACGACAGCCAGGGAUUGAUCUACAUGACUGACAGAAUUAAAGACCUCAUCAAGUCUAAGUCAUCUCUCUAGGUACAGCCGUCUGAACUGGAGGAUUUGCUGUUACAACACCCACAUGUGGCUGAGGCUGUGGUGAUUGGCGUGUGUCAGGAUGACUUUGAGGAGAUGCCGCGGGCAUUCGUGGUGCUGGAGCCUGAAGCUCCCGUCCAACCUGAGGUCCUCAAGCGGUUUGUCAAUGAUCGCGUUCCUGACUUCAAGCAGCUGACUGGCGGGGUGUGGGUGGUGGAGGAGAUCCCCAAAAAACAGCACUGGCAAACCUCUGAAGCGACAACUCAAGGCUGGUCAAGUUACACAACUGGCAUCCUGCUGUUGAUUACUACGCACUAUCUUUGUUUUUGUGGAACUAAGAGUGAGGGUGAUCUCCACCCAGAGCUGCAGGUCACACAGACACAGCUUCCCGGACUGAAGUCACUAUGAAAACGCUGGUAAGGACAUGCCGCUGAGUUUUGAAUUAGGAAUAAAGUUAGUAACAUAUCUAUAAUUGGUAUGAAUUUUUUUUUAUUCCGAGGGUUUAAGCCAGCGAGGGCAUGGAAAACAUCACUGCGAAGAAUUUUAAUAGGUAGCAUGAAGUAGUCAGAGUGUGGAGGAGAGGGAGGAACAAGCCCAGAAUCGUCCAAGGUAGAGUUUUUAGCAAAGGUUUGAGAGCUAAGAACUCAGCUUUAGAAUUAGAUGGGAUAGCACUGGUGCCAUCUGGUUGAAAUAAAGGAGGGAAAGAACAAGAAGCAAAGCUAUUGGAGAUAUUUUUGGCUAGAUGCCAGAAGUCACGAGGGAAGUUAGAUCAUGAAAGAUUAAUUAAUUAUUAAUGAAGGAGUUUUUGGCUAGUUGGAGAACAGACUUGGCAUGGUUCCGGGCAGAAAUAUAAAGUGCAUGAGAUUUUGGUAAUGGAAGGCUUAAGUACCUUUGGUGGGCCACCUCUCUAUCAUGUAUAGCACGAGAACAAGCUGUGUUAAACCAAGGUUUGGAAGGUUUAGGUCGAGAAAAAGAGUGAGGAAUGUACGCCUCCAUUCCAGACACUAUCACUUUGUAAUGCGCUCGGCACACAAAGAAGGGUCUCUGACACUGAAGCAGUAGUCAAUCUAAGGAAAAACAGCAAAAUACCGCCUCAGGUCGCCCCAACUAGAAGAGGCAAAACGCCAGAGGCACCUCCGCUUAGAGGGAUCCUGAGGAGGGAUUGGAGCGAUAGGACAAGAUACAGAUAUGAGACUGUGAUCGGAGGAGCCCAACGGAGAAGAAAGGGUGACAGCAUAAGCAGAAGGAUUAGAGGUCAGGAAAAGGUCAAGAAUAUUGGGCAUAUCUCCAAGACGGUCAGGAAUACGAGUAGGGUGUUGCACCAAUUGCUCUAGGUCGUGGAGGAUGGCAAAGUUGAAGGCUAGUUCACCAGGAUGGUCAGUGAAGGGAGAGGAAAGCCAAAGCUGGUGGUGAACAUUGAAGUCUCCAAGAAUGGAGAUCACUGCAAAAGGGA